AAAAACCCAGGUGGUGUGAGAUGGAUCCGCGUCUGAUUAGCCAGUUGGCGGGGUAACGGCCCACCAAAGCGACGAUCAGUAGCCGACCUGAGAGGGUGACCGGCCACAUUGGGACUGAGACACGGCCCAAACUCCUACGGGAGGCAGCAGUGGGGAAUAUUGCACAAUGGGCGGAAGCCUGAUGCAGCGACGCCGCGUGAGUGAAGAAGUAUCUCGGUAUGUAAAGCUCUAUCAGCAGGGAAGAAAAUGACGGUACCUGACUAAGAAGCCCCGGCUAACUACGUGCCAGCAGCCGCGGUAAUACGUAGGGGGCAAGCGUUAUCCGGAUUUACUGGGUGUAAAGGGAGCGUAGACGGCGACGCAAGUCUGGAGUGAAAGCCCGGGGCCCAACCCCGGGACUGCUUUGGAAACUGUGCUGCUGGAGUGCAGGAGAGGUAAGUGGAAUUCCUAGUGUAGCGGUGAAAUGCGUAGAUAUUAGGAGGAACACCAGUGGCGAAGGCGGCUUACUGGACUGUAACUGACGUUGAGGCUCGAAAGCGUGGGGAGCAAACAGGAUUAGAUACCCUGGUAGUCCACGCCGUAAACGAAGAAUGCUAGGUGUCGGGGGGCAAAGCCCUUCG
rnacentral:rRNA from 1 species